UACGUAGGGUGCAAGCGUUGUCCGGAAUUAUUGGGCGUAAAGAGCUCGUAGGCGGCUUGUCGCGUCUGCUGUGAAAACCCGAGGCUCAACCUCGGGCCUGCAGUGGGUACGGGCAGGCUAGAGCGCGGUAGGGGAGAUUGGAAUUCCUGGUGUAGCGGUGGAAUGCGCAGAUAUCAGGAGGAACACCGAUGGUGAAGGCAGAUCUCUGGGCCGCUACUGACGCUGAGGAGCGAAAGCAUGGGGAGCGAAC
rnacentral:rRNA from 1 species